rnacentral:lncRNA from 1 species
AAGUCUCGUCUUUCUAAAUUUUCAGCAACCGAACUUUCAAGAAAAUAAGAAGAAAAUAGCAGUUGGAGAAUUGGAGAAAUAAAGGGAAGGAAACCGCUGCCAAGAGGUUAAUAUGUUACGCGAGCUGUUGUUUUGAUUGGAGGGGUAUGAAAGUAUUUGAAUUUUGAUAAAAGGGUAAAGUUGGAAAACAGAGCAGCAUCUCCUGGGUAGUAUAUG